AACGCGAAGAACCUUACCUGGGCUCGAACGGCUGGUCAACGCCGGUGGAAACAUCGGUACCCCGCAAGGGGGUCCAGUCGAGGUGCUGCAUGGCUGUCGUCAGCUCGUGUCGUGAGAUGUUGGGUUAAGUCCCGCAACGAGCGCAACCCUUGUCCUGUGUUGCCAUGCCCGAAAGGGCGGAACUCGCAGGAGACCGCCAGCGAUAAGCUGGAGGAAGGUGGGGAUGACGUCAAGUCCUCAUGGCCUUUAUGUCCAGGGCUACACACGUGCUACAAUGGCCGGUACAAAGCGUCCCGAAGCCGCGAGGUGGAGGCAAUCGCAAAAAACCGGUCUCAGUUCGGAUUGCAGGCUGCAACUCGCCUGCAUGAAGCUGGAAUCGCUAGUAAUGGCAGAUCAGCACGCUGCCGUGAAUACGUUCCCGGGCCUUGUA
rnacentral:rRNA from 1 species